UUUGUCUUCAGGAAAUAUAAAAAAAAUAACCAAAUCUUUUUAUUUUGAUGUUAAUACAUUCUUGGACAACACCACAGAACACUUGCAUGAGGGGUCACUGACCUCUCCCACAGCAUUGGCACAGAAGCAGCAAGGGCAACAUGGAGAUACUGAGUACAAACAGUAGAAAACAUACAUGCUUUGUCUUUUUUUUCUGUUUUGCUUUUAAAUAUAGAUCCAUCGUUCGUAGUUCGGUUCGGUUUUUUCUUCUACUUCUUCUUGAUUUUCCGUUGCGGACGGUAAGAGACUCCCAAGACCAACCGAAGCCAUAUUCUGCCAAGUGAGAAAAAUAUAUCCCAACUGCCACAUUUAACCCAAACGAAAAGCUUUUAAAAACCAACAAACACAGAAAACCAACAGUGUAUAGAUCAGGACGGACCAGAGGAGAGGUGGUAGUUACCAUGUCGUGACGAGUUCGCAGCAAUCCUUUAUUUUAUAUUAUUUUUUCUUUUUAUAUUUUUUUCGGAUUCAGUUUCAACAUCAAACAUAUCAGGCAUGCAUUUACAACCAUAACCACCAUCGGGGCCCCUGGGUCGAACGGGGCGCCCGGUCUCGUCUGUUUAAACACAGUAAAGGGUCGUCUUCUCCGUCAUCGUCUUCAUCUUCAUCAUCAUGGUGCACGGACAAAAUACUGAAAGAAUUUCUGCGUGUGAAUAUGAGGACGAACACACACGCACUUCAGAAUGGGAGGGCGGUUUUUUACCAAUUGGACAACAAACAACCGACUGGAAAUGAAUCAAAGGUUUAAAGGAACAGAACAGGAUUAGAUGGAUCCUGUUUCUCUGAGCUCCUGGAAUCAAAAGCUCACUGUUUGCAUUUCUGUCUGUGGUUCAGUCUUAGUUUAGAGGACCAUGAUGAACUUGCACAGAACGAGGGUGAGAUAUUACAACGAGAGGUUUAAGUUCCAAACUUCAUACUUUUAUUUUGAAAACAAUUUCUAACUAAACUAACCGCACAACCUUGGGAGACAGACUACCAGAAAUCUUAGCUUCUCUCAAACAGAAGAAUAUGGCUUCAAUCUAAAUAAAAGUGCAUCCAAGAAGCAAGGAAAACCAAAAAAACAAACAACCAAAAAUAGAUUUAUCAUCAUGGACAUCAUACUCAUCAUCAUCGUGUUAGAAAACUGUCAACAAUCAGAGAAAGGAGGUACAUUUAAAGAUGAGAGGCUUUGGCGCCCCCGCUGGUCAAAGUCCUGUACCGCGGAUGCACUCAAGCCUUCUACAGUGAUGGCAUGCUGAGCUGACUGCUGUAUGACCUUGGCAGUGGGGAUAAGCCCGUCUUGAAGUGCUCAGAGGGGGGGGAUCCCCCUGUGAUAAACCGUGAAAGUGCCUCAGUUCUCGAGCACAACCCAGGAGUGGUCUAAAUCCAAUGGUGCACAAACAUGCUGCCUGGCCCAACUGCCACAAAAAAGGUAACCACGCGUGUUUGAAUUACACUGAGAAGAUAAUUGGCCUUUGUCCUUCCAACCCCAAGCUUUGAAAUCGUUUAGUUGUUUUGUUUUCAAUGUAUUCUUCUUUUUAAGUCCUACUCUUUCUUUUCGAGGCCCAAUCGCACAAAGUUGACACGGUUUGGUCAAAGGAAAAUUUCCCAGAAGCCUUUUGCUGUAGCAGGCUGCUGAUUGGCCGGGAAUCCUUGAAUGUGAGGUGGGCAGUGAAGCACAUGAGACAGGAAACAGGAAGCCACCCUCACCGCUUUGCUUUGGGUCAACUUUCGUGGUGGUGACGGUAGCGACUGUUUUCGUCACUUUGUUUUCCAUCUAUCUCUUCUCCAUCAAUCUCUCUCUCGCUCUCUCUCGCUCUCUCUCCCCUCUCCCUUUAUGUCGCUCUGUCUCUCUGUCUGAUGGAAGGAUGCUGUCAGAUCGCAAGGUCGUUGUAGCUCACGUAUGUUUUCUUUGCAGCUGGACCUGAAGAAACAGAAUGAGAAAACAGUCAAUGCCCGAGGCCGUCUGAGUUGAAGGGAAAACAUUUCAGAAUGAUUUAAAGUCACCUUUCUAAUGCUACGCAGCCUGAUGAGAGAGAUGAAAAUUAUUAUGGAUGAACA
ensembl:lncRNA